rnacentral:snoRNA from 1 species
GCCAUGAAGAUAAAGAUGACGAGAAUGACGGUUUUCUUUGAGUUGGAUGCCAAAGUUUUUUUGGUAUUCAAUGAGAAGAGACCUCUAAGUGAUUCUAAAUGAGGCAUUUGACAGAGCA